UGCAUCACGCUACUACUACGAAUAUCUUACAAAAUCAUUAACAACGGAAAUAAUAGAAUAAUUUACAUUGAUGUAAUAUAAAUAUUCACGUCCCAAGGUACCGUAACCAUUACUACAACAAUUCUGGUGAUUAGCUUAACAUAGCUUAAUCAUUCUUGAAUACAUCAUAAUAACAAUAAUAAUAAUACUUCUAGUCUUAAGGGCUAAAUUAUUCUGUCGCCUUGCC
rnacentral:lncRNA from 1 species